ensembl:lncRNA
GAUACUUAGGUCCCUGGAAGGCGCAUGGCCCAGCUUAGACAAUAGGCGGAGGAGGCUGAACAAGGGGCUUUUGUGUCUCCCAAGCAAAGGUCCCAGCGGGACUGCAGAGGCGGCUCUGCCCCUCUGGGCUGUGUGUCCGCUCUGUUGCUGCUCCCGGUGGGGCUGCAGCCAGCACCCUUCAUGGCAGCCAGGCCCAGUCAGCUGAUAUGGAGCCCAAGAGGGCCCAAGGCCCCAAGGGCCCUGGGCAAGUUCCUUGGCUACAGGAAGAGGCCUCCUCUGCACUUGUCCAGCCACCCGAGUGAUUGACUCCACUUCACAGGAAAGGAGACCCUGAGAGAGAAUGGAACUGGGUCAAGGUCUCCCAGAGUCGGUGCUGAAGCUGGGUAGGAACCUACAUUCCUGAUUCCUAGACCAGAAAUGAGAGAGAGGGGGGCGCUCAUUCGUUCAUCCAUUCACACCUUUAAGGACUGAGCACCUGGGACAGCAGCAGGAAGAAGGUAGACCUGCUUCCCGCCCUCGGGAGCUCACAGUCUCCGAAUGGGUCAGACACGCAGCCUGACCAGGGAAGGCCAUUAGAGUGGGGUGGACGUGGACGGCAGAGAAGAGAGUUAAAGCAGCUCAAGAUAACGGGCUAGAGAGAGUGGGGAGUUCAGGGAGCUGCUGGUUAGAUUAAGGCAGGGAAAGUGGGGAGCACGGAAGAGGUGGGAUCCUGAGUACCCUGCUUUCCUUCCCAGGGUAAUGGGGAGAGGCAUUCCCUACCCCCACUUUCAAGCAAGGGAGGUGCGUCCUCGGCCUGGGGUUUCGAGCAGGUCUCUCUGAGCAGGUCCCUUCCUGGCCAGCCGGGCUGGGGCAGGGGCGGGAUAGGGGUAGGGUGGCGCGGCGGCUGGGCGCAAAGGUCCCGCAGUGGGCCACGCAGGCGCCGGGCUGACGCGGCAAAACUUUGGCGUCUCUGAAAACCUCUGCUCACCCGCUCCUUUCUAGCGUGAGGGAGCCGGGCGGCCUCUUUCCGGCCCGGCAGUGGGACCGUCGCCGCCCGCCCCUCCCGUUGCAGCACCGCUACAGACGCGCUGACCCCGCGGCCGUGUCGCUAGGCGGCAUCCCGGAGCGGGUGGCGAGGUAUCUACCCGGGCGGGUUGAGGGCGGUGCCAGGGUUGGUCAAAGGUCCGCCCCGCCCCCUGCCUGGCCCGGCUUCGGGGUUGGGGAACAGCGCAGAGAGGUGGGUAGCUGGGCUCCCAGGCACGUGGAUCUCUGCGACGGCGGCUGCACGCAGGCACUGGCACCCGGGAGCCGCGGCGACGGCACGCCGGACGGAGAAGCGCAGCGCAGGGGCGAGAGCAUGGCAUCGCCGGGACCACAGCCUGAUCUGCCUGGUUUGUUUUGGAUCUAAGCUGAAAUAAUGAUGAGUUUUGAGGAUCUGGAUGAGGACCCAGGCAAGUUUAUUACCUGUGGGUGGAAGUGGGAGGAAGAAGAUUCUUUGCGCAGACAGGUCC